GAGGUUUAAAAGUCCUACGCGGGGGAAAUGUGACGUCAGAGAAGGGGCGGGGUUUCUGGAACCUUCUAAAGCGGAGCAGGCCUGGUCCUCUCCCGGUCCUACUUCUUCUACGUCGUCUGGAUAUCCUCGUUAAACUUUCUAACGAUACAGAGUUUGCGCUCGGAAGUUGUUUCUACCGUCUCUUUAAGGACUGAGUCCAGGAAAACAUCAUAGCUGUGUCCAAACAGAAGACCAUUCUGACAUGUCUAGUUGCAAACAACAAGACUUACACAGUUAUAGAGUGGAAAAAAGAUGGCCUGGGAGAAGAACAUGUCCUUUUGUAUCAGAAUGGACACUUUAAACCAGAGAACUAUCAUCCAUCUUUUAGGAACCGGGUGUCUCUGCAGGAGACACUGAUGAAGGACGGAGACGUGUCUUUGAUUCUGAACAAUGUGUCGACUGCUGAAAGUGGAACAUAUGAGUGUCGGGUCUACAUGAAAGGAACAGGCUCAUGGAAAUCCAUCAGCAUCAACCUGAGUGUUGUUGAUCCUCCAGGUGAGUGAGUAGAGUUGAGUGUGUGUGUGAUCAGAGGUGAAGCUGCUUCCUGGUUGUUGAUGUUUGUUUCUAAAGAUGUUGUUGAUGAGACUUUGUAGAAAGCAGCUGGUCUGAGUGAUGUGAUCAGAGUGCAGUAGAUAAUGUCUGACAGCAGUUUGAAGAGGAAAUGGAUUCUGUUCUGUUCUUCACUCAUCACCUACCUGACAGCUGACACCUCACACCUGUUUCUCACCUGCAGGUCAGACAGGAGGAGACACAGAGGAUAGAGGGAAGGAGGAUGGAGGGAAGAAGGAUGGAGGGAAGAAGGAUGGAGGGAAGGAGGAUGGAGGGAAGGAGGAUGGAUCUGUUGGACUGAAAGUUGGUCUUCCUGUUGGCCUUAUUGUUGCUGCUGUUGUUGGUGGUGGUGUUUUUUUAAUCUACAGGAAACUUAAAGCACAGAAGCAGGGUUCAUACCAGGUUCCAGCUGAACAGCAGCCUGUUUGAAAUGUUAAAAUAUGAUUUUCACAAGUUUUUAAAUGUUAUUUUUGUUUGGUGCAAAACGUCGACAAACAGUCCAACAGAGAAACAGAGUCAGGAUUCAGGAUUCGCCUCCUUGAACUGUCUCAGAGGGUUUCCAGCUGAUCUGAGUCUCCUGCUGCUGUUCCAGCUUCUCAGAGCAGAGACAGACGAGGACAUGCUGCAUUUGUUGUUCAGCAUCUUUGUGAACGAUUUCAUCACGUUGUGUUGAACAACUUUAAAGAUGGAUUCAUUCCAAAAGAAGAUUGAACUACUGUCUUACAUUUCCUUCUUUUUCUUUGGUUUGCUUGAAUUUCAGACGUGUCCUGUUUCUACUGAGUGUAGCUGUUAGCUCGUGACCUCCUGCUGAGCUGAAGCCUCAGACUGUUUCUGUAGCUUAAAUAGACGAGACAUCUAUAAUAUAUAUUUGUAUAAAUUAAAUUACACGGAGCUUUUAUUUAUUUCUGUUUAUUUAUACACUUUUAAAAUUAUUCCUGGUACAGAUUUUAUUAUUUUGUUAUUAUUGAUGAAAAAAUGAGUGGGUUUUUGUAUAGAUGAUUUUUUUUUCCCUAAAAAAAUAUUUUCUGACCUGUAUCCCAAAACGUUGGUUCUGUUCAUCUGGACGUAGCUUGUAUAUGUCCUGUUUAUAAGGUUGGGGAAACCUGCAGCCAGCUGAGACUGAAGAAGUCACUUGGAUGUUUCUCCCACUGAAAACAUCACGUCCAGAUGAGCAGAGUCAAGUUUUUGGAGAUUUACUUAACUGGAUGAUUGAACCUGCAUCAAGGCCCUUUCUCAACUGUUGAUCCUGUUUUUGU